rnacentral:rRNA from 1 species
UACACAUGCAGUCGACGGUGAAGCCAAGCUUGCUUGGUGGAUCAGUGGCGAACGGGUGAGUAACACGUGAGCAACCUGCCCUGGACUCUGGGAUAAGCGCUGGAAACGGCGUCUAAUACUGGAUAUGAGCCUCUUCCGCAUGGUGGGGGUUGGAAAGAUUUUUUGGUCUGGGAUGGGCUCGCGGCCUAUCAGCUUGUUGGUGAGGUAAUGGCUCACCAAGGCGUCGACGGGUAGCCGGCCUGAGAGGGUGACCGGCCACACUGGGACUGAGACACGGCCCAGACUCCUACGGGAGGCAGCAGUGGGGAAUAUUGCACAAUGGGCGGAAGCCUGAUGCAGCAACGCCGCGUGAGGGAUGACGGCCUUCGGGUUGUAAACCUCUUUUAGCAGGGAAGAAGCGAAAGUGACGGUACCUGCAGAAAAAGCGCCGGCUAACUACGUGCCAGCAGCCGCGGUAAUACGUAGGGCGCAAGCGUUAUCCGGAAUUAUUGGGCGUAAAGAGCUCGUAGGCGGUUUGUCGCGUCUGCUGUGAAAUCCCGAGGCUCAACCUCGGGCCUGCAGUGGGUACGGGCAGACUAGAGUGCGGUAGGGGAGAUUGGAAUUCCUGGUGUAGCGGUGGAAUGCGCAGAUAUCAGGAGGAACACCGAUGGCGAAGGCAGAUCUCUGGGCCGUAACUGACGCUGAGGAGCGAAAGGGUGGGGAGCAAACAGGCUUAGAUACCCUGGUAGUCCACCCCGUAAACGUUGGGAACUAGUUGUGGGGACCAUUCCACGG